rnacentral:tRNA from 1 species
AGCGGUUUAGUGUAGUGGUAGCACAUCAGAUUUUGCCUCUGAUAACAUUGGUUCAAUUCCAGUAACCGCUG